UUGAGAAUGUGAAAUCGCUGAAGUGGAACCGGAGAGAGUUAACAUAACUUGGUAGCUAUAUUCUCUAUAGUCGCUUAGCUGUGGCUUUGGGGGGUGGACGCUACCUGUUGUUGCGCUGACUGCGUUGAUCAUGCUUUCCUAACAAUGUAGUGGUUGCCCACAUUGUGGUGUCUUGGUCUUAUUGGGAGGUUUGUCAUGGUUAACGUCAAGCCUUAGUUUCUAGGGAGUCAGUGUGAAAGUUAACCACCUUUCCGACCCGUCUUGAAACACGGACCGAGGAGGUGUAAUUUACACUGCGAGUCAAAGGGCUGAGGAAACCUUAUGGCAUAAUGAAAGUAAAGACCGGUUAACCGGUUGACAUGGGAUCCGACUCGAAUUCUUCUUCUCCGAAACGGAGCACCAUGGCCCUGUCUUUUGUCUAUGGGGAGGGGGAGAGCGAGAACGUUUCCACCCCAAAACAAAAA
rnacentral:rRNA from 1 species